rnacentral:rRNA from 1 species
UACGUAGGGGGCGAGCGUUGUCCGAAGUUACUGGGCGUAAAGCGCGUGUAGGCGGACCUCUAAGUGAGGGGUGAAAGGUUCGGGCUCAACCCGAGCACUGCCUCUCAUACUGGGGGUCUUGAGUGCGGGAGAGGCGAGUGGAAUGGUCGGUGUAGCGGUGAAAUGCGUAGAUAUCGAUCGGAACACCCAUGGCGAAGGCAGCUCGCUGGCCUGCAACUGACGCUGAGACGCGAAAGCGUGGGGAGCAAACAGG